rnacentral:snoRNA from 12 species
AAUUCAAUGAUUUCAACUUCACUGCUGACCUGCCACGCCUCACCGCCUCGAAGGGAUUGGCCCUAUUCCCUAACAAAUAGAGCAUAUUCUAAUUAACAC